UACUCUGCUCUGGAGCAGCCUUCACUUUGAGUACUGUAUGCAAUUUUGCAUCCUGAAAUGUAAGAAGAACUGUAUGGAAACUAUUGCAUUACGGCCUGACCUCUGAUUGAUCACCUCAGGCAAGCAAUGGGUCAGCUGAGGGAGCACAGGUGAAGGCAAUUCGCCUGCGUGACCAGAAGGAGUGGAGCCUGGCUUUACCUCUCCUAGACCCCAUUUAAGGGCUGACUGCCACUUAGGAAGGAUCUCUCUCUGGAAGUUGCGCUUCUUGGAAUCUUCUUUUGCAAGCCCAGGACAUGGAUGCUCUGCAAACAACAGUGAUAACACCCAACAAGUCCAACCUGAUGUCUUCUUAAAAACAAACUUCCACCAGGAAUAUUACAUCUAUAGCAGCCUUCCAAAGAACAAUUUCUACAAAGAUCUGCUGCAAGUCUGGAAUGACAGUAGAAGAUGGAAUAUCUAAUUCCAAACUACAGUCAGAAGUAGUUUUGCAAAGCACAAUGGGGAGUACCUGGACCGAUAUCUGUGAAGGGGUAGCUGCCGCUCCACCAUUCUGAUAGCUCAAAAAUUGUUUAGUGCUGUUAAAAGACUGUUCCUACUAGCCAUACAGCAACACCUGGAAAAUCACAAACCAGAAAGUUAAAGGCAAACAAAGGAAACAAAAGUCAAAGAAUAUAUUUUCCCGGAUGUGUAGCAAUCCUGUGCAUAUCGAUACAAUUUUGUCAAUCUCAAUGUGCUGUGUUCACCAUUGAGAUGCUAUUCAGUUGUAUGUGUACUUCCAAGUUAGACAGUUAUCUAUAAUGAAAAUGGAUAAUUUUGUAAGAAUUUUAAUUCUGUACAGAACCUGUGAGACUGUAUCAAAAGAAAUAUAGUACAAAGCAGCCAAGAUUUUUAGCAAUAAGAAAUAUUAAUUCACUUUAUAUCUGCUGAAAUGUUAAUUGGACCAUAGCUCUAUUUCAACUUAGCUGGGUUUUGUUUUAAUUUCUUUUCUUUGCUUUGUUCAAUACUUCUUUUCAAUUGUGCUUACUUUGCUUUACUCGUGAGUAUUUUUUUUGUUUGUUUUCAGUUAGAUACUGCAAUACCACUAUUUUUUCUGAAUGAUAGAAAAUUUCCUAACUCUAUGUUGCAUAAAGUGUAACAUUUGAUUUGUCAAGGCAUAGUGACUUGACGUUCAAAGAAAAAGAAAAGCCUUUUAAGGAAAAUUGCUCGUACUACACCAAUAGGACAUUAACAAUAACUCUAAUGUAACAGAAUUGCAUGGUAUCCCUUUUAAGUUCCAAAAAGUUUUCAUCUUACAUAAAAAAUAACAUAAGAUGUGAAUGUCAUUUUGAAUUUUUGUAUUCUUGACAUCA